UGUCCUGACAGAAAGGGCCGAGCAGGGAAAGGAUUGUGUCAACCUGACAGGCCUUCCCUGGGGGCCCAGAGUCCAGGGUGUGAGAAAUCACUGAAGACCCAAAAAUGUUGUUCAUUCAUGAUGAAAAGGAGCGUGACUAGGUCAGGAGUCUAUGUUAGGUGUUGACCCAGGCCACAGUGGUCGGGCUGCUUCCCGUCCUGGGCUUCUCCUUCAGCGUGGCGUCUGAAAUCAUCUUGUCCGGUGGGGAGCUCUGGGUUCCUCUUCCCGGCCCAGGCCCCUUGCUGCUGGGUGGAGUUGUCUCUCCCUCUUCAGUGUUGGACCAGGCUCCCGGGGAUGUUGGGGAAAUGCUCCUGGCGUGCCCGGCACCGAGCACCAGACUCUCAAACCACACCCCAGUCUGCUGGUCAGCAGGCACCGCCCUCUCGCCCUAGAAGGCCCCUCGGUGCUCCUAAGGUCACACUGGAGUGGCAGGUGCCACACCCCCCUGGUAGCAUAGCUCCCUCUUCUCUCAUCAGAAGUGAGAGGACAGAGGUCAGACGCCCAUGUCUUGUCAGGAACUGCUGUGUGGUUUUAGAGGUAGGUUCUGCCCUGGCAGUGGAGUUGAGGGUCCAGGGCAGGCUGUUAAGGUGGCAGACUCGGGGUACAGAAGUGACGUGUUUUCCUGGGGUGAUAGACCUUU
rnacentral:lncRNA from 1 species